rnacentral:lncRNA from 1 species
GUUUGACUACCCUGUUACCCAUGUAUGAGGCUUCGUGCUAUUGUGGGCGGUAGUCGGCAAUAGCACGGUCGUGUCACGGAUCCGGGUCCGGGGCGUGACAUCUUGUGGUAUCAGAGCAAUAGGUUAAUCAUGAGUAAAAAUUUUAAGUUUUAAUAAGGGAAUGGGUAGUUAAGUCUCAUUCGGUGAGAUUCCGCAUAAUUGGAAAGAAAAAAAAGAUUUUAUUAGUUGUA